rnacentral:misc_RNA from 1 species
AAGUCGUAACAAGGUUUCCGUAGGUGAACCUGCGGAAGGAUCAUUAACACGUAUCCAACGUUAAACCCCCCGUGCACACAGAGACCAGCUCCCCUCAAUUUCGGUCUUUUGGCAAUCUCUGGUAAAUCAUCGCCGAACAGUUUUGAUUCAGGGACUUCUGCGAAGAGGGUGAAUGAGGCGAGGCAAUGGACCUGGCAUUCCUCUGCUUGUUGGUGUCUGAAAGUGUCACUAACUCUGUACGAAUGGCGCAGUCACGUUCGCUGGAGGCCGACACGGCCGGCGACCGGGUCCCUGAGCUCUGCUCCCUAAUAACCUUUGCAUGAAAACGGGCCUGCGCUUAAUUGUGCGGCCACCAAACUCGAACAACUGUUAACAAUGGAUAUCUUGGUUCUC